GGGGGUGCCCGGUUUUGACAGCAGGCUGAGGUUGAUGGUAAGCACGUCGAGCGCUGUGUGGCGGCUCGUUAAUCCCGAUGCUCAAAAAUUAGUUGGCAACAACAAUUACGCACUCGCUGCCUAAUUUCUAGGAAAUUGAGGCUUAAUCGCAGAGGCCAAGGCUGCCUUAGCGACGAGUAUCCCGAGGGGCUGUUCCACUCUUUAACGGCUCUUCAUACGGGGUAUCAUUCAUUUAGAGAUAGUUCGACGGAGGGCUUCGGCCGUUGGGCGAAAUUUUAGAAGCUGGGCCGUGUGUUUGGUUGUUGCCUACCGGAUGCGCGGAGAAGGACUAAACGGUAACUAAACGUGUAGAAAGCCUUCGGGCUCCCUGUUUGGACGCGGGUUCGACUCCCGCCACCUCCACAC
rnacentral:tmRNA from 1 species